GACCCCAUCGUCUAGUCAGGUCAGGACGCCAGGUUUUCAUCCUGGAAACACGGGUUCGAAUCCCGUUGGGGUCG
rnacentral:tRNA from 1 species